AGUGCUUCUCGGCCUCUUGGCUGAGAACAAGUGUGCUACCUGUUACCCACUAACUAGCUGAUUCGGACUGUAUCUGAAGACAAUGUGUCAACUAGAUCCUUUGGAUGGGGAGAUGGCCUGGGAGCUUGCUCUGUUCCCUAUAUAUGUUAACCUGGCAUUGCAGCUUCGCCAAGAAUGAAACAGCCCUG